GUAGGCGGAGGAAGAGAAAACAAGAGUGAUUCCGAGAGUAGUGGCGAGCGAAAUCGGAUCGGCCCAAACCGUUGUUGUUCCGGCAAUGACGGGGUUGUAGGACCACAAUGUUCUUUGCGCGACGAACCGGAAGCAGUUGGAAAGCUGCACGAUAUGGGUGACAGUCCCGUACGGGCAAGGAGCGUUAAAGAUAGUGGUAUCCUGAGUAGCGCGGGGCACGUGAAACCCUGUGUGAAUCCGGCGGGACCAUCCGCCAAGGCUAAAUACUCCUGAGAGACCGAUAGUGAACCAGUACCGUGAGGGAAAGGUGAAAAGAACCGUGAAUAACGGAGUGAAACAGA
rnacentral:rRNA from 12 species